UUCCUCUGUUCCUCCCUCCAUGAUCUUUUGCCUCCCCCAAGCCCCUCCUACCUCCCUGAUCUGCUGCCUUCGUCAAGCGAUGCAGCCAAAUCGAUGGCCCCCAUGCGCGUCCUCCAUUUCCAGCACCAGUAGAAGCCAUAUUCCUGAGGAGCAUCGGAAGUAUCUUGUGCAAUAGUCUUUCCAAUGCAUGCAUUAGUGCAAGCAACAUCAACAUAUACCGUAGCAUCAAAAGGGAGAAACUUAAGGUGGUUUGCUUGGUGCGUCCACCAAAAAGUAAGAGAAAGUGAGGUAGAGGGAGCGGCCCAUGGCCGGAUUAUGCUGCUGCAAAGCUUAGUGCCUCUGCCGCAAGUCCGGGACGAGAGAUGAGAGUAUGGACGCCGGCUGACGACGGGAUACUGUGGGCAUCAUCGGUCGGGGCUGCAAUGGAGCCUGACACCACGGCGCCCGGGGCUGCAAUGGAGCCUGACACCAUGGCGCCCGGAGCUGCAAUGGAGCUCUGCCGGGGAUGCAAUGGAGCCCGGCACCACGGUGCUCGGAGCUGCAAUGGAGCUCCGUUGGGGCUGCAAUGAAGAGCGGGCGCUACUGCCGGAGGCGUGGCAAGUCGAGGACGGCGACGCUCACCACCGGUGCUGCAAUGAAGUGAGUGUUGCUGCCAGCGGCAUUGCAAUGGAGCAGGUGCUGCUGCAGGCGGCGCGGCAAGUCGAGGACGGCGCCGCUCGCCACCAGUGAUGCAAUGAAGGGAGCAUUGCUGCCAACGGAAUGACAAGUCGGGGAUGGCAGCGCUGCAAUGAAGUGCCGAUGGAGCCACCGACGACAGGGCUGCUGCGUGGUGAGGGAUGCAAUACUAUGGCGGCCUCGCGCGUCGAUGAUGUUGUGCUUGUCUGGGUCACAACAUCGCCGCUGCCGCCGUUGCCACGUUGAGGACCUUGGUCACGCAUAGUCAGAGUCGCGUUUGCUGCUUUGUGCUGCUAGUGCUGGGAGUGGUGGACGCGAGGCCAUUGCAAAUUGGUGCUACCACAGUCAGGCGAGUGGUGCAUCCCUGAUCCCUGCAUGCAGUACCAGUUUAGAUAGUAAUACUGAUUAAAUUAAGUCAGGAUCAACUGUUAAAAUUUAUUGAUAUAAAUUAAGGUGAAAGGCCCCUUGAAUUGUAUGCCUCGUUCACGUAAUGAAUUAUUUGUGCAGGGAGUUCUAGCGACACAUUAUACAAGGAGCUAUGGCAUGCUUGAUCUAGGCUUUUGAUCAUAGUGCCUUGCCAAGGUAUGGUCUGAUGUCAGGUUGCGGGAGGCAUCUGUAAUCAAUCUCUCCGACACAUUUGCCAACACUAUAUGCGAAGAAAUGUUACCUUCGUCAAGCAGUUUUGUUAAUGGUGAUACUUCCAGGAAAUGUCGUCUGACGACGGAAAAAAUUUCGGUAUGUGCACAUACUGUGAAGACGAGCG